AGCCCGUAGGGAUGAUGACCAAGGAAGAAGAAACUUAGGAGUUGAGAAGAGGUCAAAUCAAGUCUCGUGAAUCAGUUUCAGAUAACGUAGAAGGAGGCUAUGAACGGUGUGCUUAAUUCUUAUUCGCUCUAAACAGGUGUAAUUAUAGCUGUUCCAUAGAGGUGAGCGGAAGAUUUAUUAAGUUACCGAAGGAAGCCACGCUUUCAGUGGCUAUAUAUUAUUCUGGCAAUAAACACAGAUAGGUUAAGUACUGCAUUGCACGCGGCAUCGUGCCUGUCAUUGGUUUAAUUGAAUCGCCGAUUAAAGGCUAUGUACGUUUGAAUUCUUGGAAUUGUAAUAAAAUAUCUUAUCGCUAUUCAUAGGAACUUUCAUAGAAACUGAUCAUCAUGUAUAAGUAUCUAUGCACACAGUGAUGGAUAUUGGCACAGUACGCAACCCCUCAUACAAACAUUAUUAUUAAAAACAUUAUCUAUACUACUUAUGCUUUAUAUGGAUAUUUAUUUGUGUCUUAUUUGCCUGCAUUCAAAAACAGGACAAAUAUGAUAGAAUAGAGAACAUGCAGCUAAUAAAAAUAUUUUUUACCAUUAUCUUAUACCUAGGCAAAAAUAUUGGUUUGUACACAUUUUCACACUUUUGACAAUUUUUAUUUACACAUAUUAUUAUAUUUUAUUACAAUGAUAAAUAUAUUGUCCAUCACUUUAUAUAGCUAUCAUUCUAUGAACCUUUACCAACGGUAAAUAAGCGCGAGAUACCAUAAAAAUUCAUUUUCAACAAAUUUAGGAAGCAUUGAUAAGCCGGUCACGAAUGAAUCAUGAAAACCUGGUAUGUAUCCCAGAACGUGGCGUUCAAGCGACGUUUCGUUUAUGAUUGGUACGACUCCCAGGGUGGUCGUUUAACGAACGGACUAACGGGCAAAUCCUCACCACUUGGGUAUAUACGGGAUCCGGACGGUAGCAAAGGCUGUGCCUCCCAGCCGUCUCGCUUAGCGAGCUUAAUUCGGUAGUACCGCGAGAUAUAUUAAUUAACGAUGGCUCGACUUGCAACCCAAUUUAGAAACAAGCACCUUGUUUGCAUACAAAGGAGCGUUAUACAACGAGUUCGCACCCUCGAUUCCGUGCCGAUAUAAAUGGUGUUCGUUGAAGAGGAACUACCCUGCGAGUGACGAGCAAGAUGGUGGGGGAAACGAAAGAAAUGCUGAUAAAAGGGCAUAAUAAGACUGGAUUACCAUGAUUUUACUACAUUGUCAGAUAAAUCUGAAACCUUUCUGAGACCACUCAAAAGCGAUACAAAUGCUACACGGAUAAAAUAAUAACACUACCUAAUAAAUGAUAUAGGAUUAUUGAACUAAAUGAUACAUAUUUGAUUUAAUUGUAUUACUGAAAGAUGUUGGAAUAAAGUUUAUAUAAGUAUUAUAUAUUAUAUAUAUAUAUUACAUUAUAAUAUUUAUAAAAUUUGAAACCAAUGUGAAAAUGUAUGCAGAAAUUGCGAAUUUCAUCAGUUACCGUACAUGGAAAUGGAACAUAGAUGAAACUAUAAAAAAGAACAAUUUGAUAGUACGUGAAAGAAAAAC